UUAAGUUCAGCGGGUAUCCCUACCUGAUCCGAGGUCAAAAGUGAAAAAGGCUUGUGGAAGCUGGUGUAUAGCCUUGAAUCGCGACUUGUGCUGCGCUUCAAAACCAAACACUGGCUGCCAAUUACUUUAAGGCGAGUCCCUCAGGACAAACACCCAACACCAAGCAAAGCUUGAAGGUACAAAUGACGCUCGAACAGGCA
rnacentral:misc_RNA from 1 species